CUGCAGCCGCGGGAAUACGAAGGGUGCAAGCGUUAAUCGGAAUUACUGGGCGUAAAGCGUGCGUAGGCGGUGAGUUAAGUCUGCUGUGAAAUCCCCGGGCUCAACCUGGGAAUGGCAGUGGAUACUGGCUCGCUAGAGUGUGUCAGAGGAUGGUGGAAUUCCCGGUGUAGCGGUGAAAUGCGUAGAGAUCGGGAGGAACAUCAGUGGCGAAGGCGGCCAUCAGGGACAACACUGACGCUGAGGCACGAAAGCGUGGGGAGCAAACAGGAUUAGAUACCCCGGUAGUCCCUGUCUCUUAUAC
rnacentral:rRNA from 1 species